rnacentral:misc_RNA from 1 species
ACAAACUUGGUCAUUUAGAGGAAGUAAAAGUCGUAACAAGGUUUCCGUAGGUGAACCUGCGGAAGGAUAAUUAACGAGUUUUUGAAAUGGGUUGUUGCUGGCUUCCAAAAAGGAGCAUGUGCACACCUGACUCAAUCCACUCUCAAACCCCUGUGCACUUAUUGUAGGCUUGGUGAUUGAAGAGCUCGCAAGAGUUUUGAUAGAGCCCUGUCUAUGCUUUUACAAACGCUUCAGUUUAAGAAUGUUACUCGCGUAUAACGCAAUAAAUACAACUUUCAGCAACGGAUCUCUUGGCUCUCGCAUCGAUGAAGAACGCAGC